rnacentral:SRP_RNA from 1 species
GCCGGGCAUGGUGACGCGUGCCUGUAGUCCCAGCUCCUUGGGAGGCUGAGGCAGGAGGAUGGCUUGAGGCCGGGAGGUUAAGGUUGCAGUGAGCUGUGAUCAUGCCACUGCACUCCAGCCUGGGUGACCAAGCAAGACCCUGUCUCAG